UUAGAUAAAAUGGAAUUGGUUCUGUUGCUUGAACAACAAGAGGUGAAAUUGUAACUGACGCAACACAAAAGGAAUGAAUAAGUAGACAUGUUAUAAACAAACAUAACUGGAGGAACUGAGUUAGGUACCAAACUUGAACCAGACUUCUGUAAAUCUUCGCAUAGAGAAAUAAUGGGAAAUUGCUUUCAGAUGAGUAUUGUAUUGCAUAUAGAAUGGAAAUGUACAGUAGCCAGAAAUCGUCUUGCAGGUGUACAGGAAAUGUUAACGUCACAUUUGUCGUUAAUAUGUGAUUAGAUAAGAUAAGUAUGGAAACAACUGCAAAAUGUAAUAGGCAAAUAAAAUAUUUGCAAAGUGGGAUAUAAAACAGAGUUGUAAUCAGUUUGGAACAGCAGUUGUCCCCAGAAGGGUGAGUACUAUUAACCUUUGCCUUUCUCUAUUUGUGUUGAUCUAUCUUCACUUAAU